rnacentral:rRNA from 1 species
UACGAAGGGGGCUAGCGUUGUUCGGAAUUACUGGGCGUAAAUCGCACGUAGGCGGACUAUUAAGUCAGGGGUGAAAUCCCGGGGCUCAACCCCGGAACUGCCUUUGAUACUGGUAGUCUCGAGUCCGGAAGAGGUGAGUGGAAUUCCGAGUGUAGAGGUGAAAUUCGUAGAUAUUCGCAAGAACACCAGUGGCGAAGGCGGCUCACUGGCCCGGUACUGACGCUGAGGCACGAAAGCGUGGGGAGCAAACAGGG